rnacentral:rRNA from 1 species
GACGUAGGGCGCGAGCGUUGUCCGGAUUUAUUGGGCGUAAAGAGCUCGUAGGCGGUUUGUCACGUCUGCUGUGAAAACUCGGGGCUUAACUCCGGGCCUGCAGUGGGUACGGGCAGACUAGAGUGCGGUAGGGGAGACUGGAAUUCCUGGUGUAGCGGUGAAAUGCGCAGAUAUCAGGAGGAACACCGGUGGCGAAGGCGGGUCUCUGGGCCGUAACUGACGCUGAGGAGCGAAAGCGUGGGGAGCAAACAGG